GCAUUGGUGGUUCAGCAGUAGAGCUCUUGCCUUCAGUGCAGAAGACCUGGGCUCAAUUCCCAGCAGAGGCA
rnacentral:tRNA from 1 species